GUUUAUUUUAAAACAAUAAUUCUGAUGAUGAAGAACCUUACCACCAAUAAUGUUCUUCUUUUGAAGACCAUUUUUGUGUUAUGCUCUAUAUUAAUUGUAACACAAGGAGCAAGAAUUGGAAGAAGAGAAAUUGAAUCAAGAAGUGGAAUUGAUGUUUUCAAAAUGGAUAAAAAUACAAAUAAUAUUCAGGCUGAUGAUUCAAUAGUAAUUGACUAUGCACCAGCUCAUCCAUCACCAAGUAGACAUCAUGAUAAACCACCACCAUAUGAUAGUCAUUUGAUAUAAUUUACGAGUCUUUUAUGCAUAAUAUUACUAUUUAAUAAUAUUUAGUCUUCUUAUGUCUUUGAUGUUUGAUUGAAUUUUAAUGGAUAGACGGAACUUCAAAGAUUAA